rnacentral:lncRNA from 1 species
AUGCUCUCGGGACUGAGAAAGCCCACGCUGGCUCCCCCGCCUCUCCCUCCGUGGGGUUUGAGAAGCUCAUCUGCUCUCCUCUUGGGACGUGGCCCUCUCCUGGUCCCCGGCAGCCUUCUAGGGAGAGCAUCCAUGGGAGGGGGGCGUGGACGGGCAGAGGGAGAGGUCCCUGGAUGGCAGCUGUCGCGGCUCAGAGACAGGCAGCAUGGGUGGGGGAAGCGAGUGCAGAGCAGGCCCCAGGAGGGCAGCUUCCAAGAAGAAGCAGAGAUGGAUGAGACCCGGAUGACCUUGAUUAUUGAGAAGAGAGUUCCCUUCCCCUCUGGGAAGUGGCUUCAAGAGUCGGGAGGCUGGGGCAGAGGAUUGCUACUGUUCCUGACACACUCAAGAGUGAUGCGGUGGUCAGUUGGAGAUGUUAGCUUGGCGGGGCUCCAGUCCUCAGUUAUUCAGGCACGGAGCUGGGUGUUGCUGUGCAGGCAGUUUGCAGAUGUGAUUUGAAUCCAUAACCGGUUGACUUUAAAUAAAGAAGAUUAUCCUCCACCCUCUGGGUGGGUCUGAUUCACCCCCUCGAAGGGCUUUAAGAGCAGAUCUGAGAUUCCCCUGAAGCAGAAGGCCUAGCACCUGUGGGCGCAGCUUCUGCUUGUGCCCGAGCGUCCAGCCUGCCCUUCCGACGGCCCGCCCAGGCCUGUGCCCUUCAGGCUCGCCCAGCCAGCCCCACUUGCAUGAGCCUCCGACUCCACUCACGCACCUCCGACUAGUUUUGGAUUGGACCCAGCCUCAUACGUGUGCUAACUGAAUUUUUAAACCACUCUACGGAUUAUUUGGAUAAAACUAGACAGUGAAGUAAAAAAUAAAUACAAUUUCAAGCCCUCGGAAAAAGAAAGAGGAAAGCAGAGAAGAAUUGAUUCAAAAAGGACUGGAAGGAAAUACAUGAAUGGAUUUUGUGUUUAUCUCCGGGUGGUGGAGUCACGCGCAUUCCAGCUGGUGGUCCCCAUAACAAACCUCCCCCCACCCCCGCCGUCCCCCUACUUCCAUGGCACACGACUUUGUCAUGGGACUUUUUCUCUUUGGUUCCCAGAAUGUCCCCUUCACGAGUUCAAGCCUGUGUGGGGCAUAAAUUAAAAGUUGG